rnacentral:rRNA from 1 species
UACGGAGGGUGCAAGCGUUAUCCGGAUUUACUGGGUUUAAAGGGUGCGUAGGUGGGUUGGUAAGUCAGUGGUGAAAUACUUUCGCUUAACGAAGGAACUGCCAUUGAUACUACCAGUCUUGAAUACAGUGGAGGUAGGCGGAAUGCGUCAUGUAGCGGUGAAAUGCUUAGAUAUCAGGAGGAACACCGGUGGCGAAGGCGGGUCUCUGGGCCAAAACUGACGCUGAGGAGCGAAAGCGUGGGGAGCGAACAGG